GAUGAACGCUGGCGGCGUGCCUAAUACAUGCAAGUCGAGCGAACAGACGAGGAGCUUGCUCCUCUGACGUUAGCGGCGGACGGGUGAGUAACACGUGUAUAACCUACCUAUAAGACUGGGAUAACUUCGGGAAACCGGAGCUAAUACCGGAUAAUAUAUUGAACCGCAUGGUUCAAUAGUGAAAGACGGUUUUGCUGUCACUUAUAGAUGGAUCCGCGCCGCAUUAGCUAGUUGGUAAGGUAACGGCUUACCAAGGCAACGAUGCGUAGCCGACCUGAGAGAGUGAUCGGCCACACUAGAACUGAGACGCGGACCAGACUCCUACGAGAGGCAGCAGUAGGCAACCUUCCGCAAUGGGCGAAAGCAUGACGGAGCAACGCCGCGUGAGUGAUGAAGGUCUUCGGAUCGUAAAACUCUGUUAUUAGGGAAGAACAAAUGUGUAAGUAACUAUGCACGUCUUGACGGUACCUGAUCAGAAAGCCACGGCUAACUACGUG
rnacentral:rRNA from 1 species